rnacentral:rRNA from 1 species
UACGAGGGGGGCUAGCGUUGCUCGGAAUCACUGGGCGUAAAGCGCACGUAGGCGGACUCUUAAGUCGGUGGUGAAAUCCUGGAGCUCAACUCCAGAACUGCCUUCGAUACUGAGAGUCUCGAGUCCGGGAGAGGUGAGUGGAACUGCGAGUGUAGAGGUGAAAUUCGUAGAUAUUCGCAAGAACACCAGUGGCGAAGGCGGCUCACUGGCCCGGUACUGACGCUGAGGUGCGAAAGCGUGGGGAUCAAACAGG